ACUUAUUCUUCUGGUGGCAUGCUGGUGUCU
rnacentral:piRNA from 1 species